AUCCGAGUGCACGGGCGUUUUCCUUCUCCGUGAAGCGAUAAGCUGAGAGAGGAAUUUUGCUAGUUGAAAACUAUACACAAACCGCUCCUGUUUGAUUUAUUCGGGCAGGGAAUUUUUGGAACCUUUUUUCGCCUUGUUUUUUUUUUUUUUCCUUUCAUUGCAGCUUGAUUCUUCGUGGGUCAGCGUGAAGAAG
rnacentral:snRNA from 1 species